GGGGUGUGCUCAGAGCAGGGAGCCUGAGGAAUGGCUCCUCUGUUUACAACACACCCAACAGGAAUCUGGGUUCAUUGUUACAAGGAGCACAAAACUUGCGUCCUUCCCAUGAACAAAUGCCCUACACAU
rnacentral:snoRNA from 15 species